CCCUGCUCGCCUCCGCCGGAGGCGCCCUGGCCCAGAGGGCAUUAGCUGUUCUUGGGUGUUAAUAAGACAAGAAAGCGUAUUCUCUACGGCUGACAGCGUUGCACUCAAACUAGUCUGGGUGGGUUUUUUUUGUCCUAAACCUGUGGUGAGAUCCUGGCUCAGAAUAGCAAGAAUCAGCUGAACUGCAAAACUCCAGCUGUCCCCAGCCCAUCCUUCUGGCAGUGUUGACCCGCCUGCCCUCAGGAACUACAAAAGCAUAGCACUCAAAGGCUCUGAUUUGCCUCCCAGGCAGGAACCAGGACAGUCUCAAAGCAGAUUUUUACUCUGAGGAUAUCUGCUGAAAAAGUGACAUAACGGCUCUUAUUCUUCAAUGGAAACAGAGGUUUCAUCAGAGAACAGUGAUGAAACCCACAAAUGAAUUCAUCUGUGCCUUACCUUGUAUCCUACUGGAGAA